GACGAACGCUGGCGGCGCGCCUAAUACAUGCAAGUCGAGCGCAGGAAACUGACGGAACUCUUCGGAGGGAAGGCAGUGGAAUGAGCGGCGGACGGGUGAGUAACACGUAAGGAACCUGCCUCAAGGAUUGGGAUAACUCCGAGAAAUCGGAGCUAAUACCGGAUAGUUCAUCGGACCGCAUGGUCCGUUGAUGAAAGGCGCUCCGGCGUCACCUUGAGAUGGACUUGCGGUGCAUUAGCUAGUUGGUGGGGUAACGGCCCACCAAGGCGACGAUGCAUAGCCGACCUGAGAGGGUGGUCGGCCACACUGGGACUGAGACACGGCCCAGACUCCUACGGGAGGCAGCAGUAGGGAAUCUUCCACAAUGGACGAAAGUCUGAUGGAGCAACGCCGCGUGAGUGAUGAAGGUUUUCGGAUCGUAAAACUCUGUUGUAAGGGAAGAACACGUACGAGAGGGAAUGCUCGUACCUUGACGGUACCUUACGAGAAAGCCACGGCUAACUACGUGCCAGCCGCCGCAGUAAUAC
rnacentral:rRNA from 1 species